rnacentral:rRNA from 2 species
ACGUGAACCUGCGGAAGGAUCAUUG